GAAAAACAAGGCUUUAAGAACUUUAAUCAUUCAACUCAUUCAUUCUCUUUUGUUAUUUCAGUUGUUGAAAUUAUUGCUGAAGUAGAUUUCAUUUUGGUAAAUAACAGUAGUUUAACCAUACAAUCUUUAUAUGGAAGUGGCUUAGUUUGAGUAAUCAUACCUGAUGCUGAUUGAACUUGUGAGGAGAAUAUCAUCUGAUAAGG
rnacentral:misc_RNA from 1 species